CGUGAGGCGGAGGACAGGCUGGGGGAUCCCAAAGGGUCCGCUCCAGCCCCCAACCCAGGCACUGGGACUCUGGUGGCACCCUGGGUGGCAGGCAAGCCUUGAAAUCAAGUGCACGAGCCUUGGAAAGGAGGACCGGGAGAGUUAUGGCAUUUAUGAAUAAAGAAGAGAAAGAGAAUCACUCGGAUGGGAAAAGUUAACUGGAUUGUUCCCACCUGCAUGGAUCACCGGGAUGAAGCUGUGCCACCCUGUAGGAAUUAGAAGACCACGUCCAGGAAUUGAGCAUCGGGUGCAGGAUCCAGUCUUCUGAGGCCCUGAAACCACAUGGUCUGGACAGCUGCUUGUUACAUUUGGCUCACGCUAGCUUUAAAAAGGAAUGUAUGGACCUUACUGCAGAACGUCCCAAUUCUUCAGGCCAAGGUAAAUGCAAGUUGGGGUGGUAGUGAAGUUGCAAACUGCUCCUAAGAAAAAAAGUUAACAAGAUAUUGUUCCUUCCACCCCCG
rnacentral:lncRNA from 1 species